UACUGUAUAUACUAUAGUAUAUAUCAAUAUUAUAUGCAAUAUAUAUAUUUGAGGAGAUUUACAUCUUCACACUAUUAAUUUUUACAUACCUUGUAUAUAAAAAUAAGGAAGGAAGAAAGGCAAUUUAAAAUUAUAUUUCGUGGCUGAUACGUAUUUAUUUUUCUCACUUUGAUAUUAUCCAAAUAUCCAAAGAAUUACAAUUUAAUACUAGUUUAAGGUCUUACAUUUUGACAGAAAAUCUGGAAAGAACUGUUUAACCUGACAUAUUAGGUCCUUAUGAUUUGAAGCAUUGUAAGAAUUCAUAAAAUUUCAACCUUUUAAAAGACAUCCACUAAUAAAGAACAUACAUUAUUAUAAUUGCAUUUAACAUUUUUUGUUUUUGAAAUAAAUCUUAUUUAUUGCUAAAUUUGUCCAAUUUUUAGAAAGAUGAUAACCUCUUAAGAAAUCCAUUAACAUGGUUUUUUUAGUGUUACAAUCCAUGUAGCAAGGAAUUUUGAGAGAACACAUUAUCAAAAAAUUUUUUUCCAAGGUGAAAUGCAGAUGGAUUAACUAAAACGUAUCCACUGGGUCUGAGAAAACUAAGUUUUGAAAUGGCUGAGGAGAAAGCCAAGAAGCCUUACAAUGCAGCAUUCAUGAAGGAAUCCUGUAAGACUUCCUGACCAGUCAGGAACUGGUGUCAUUAUGUAACUCUAGAAGAGAAUUGACAGUGGGCUUACAACAAGAGGCUUAGUUAAAAGCUCAUAUACAUAUGCUCCAUUUAGAUUCCUCAGUUAUCUUCUUGAGUUAAUAUUGCCUUGCCAUAUGAAAGAUUCUCCUUAUUCUAGAUUGAGGACUAAAGAUUUCUUUGGAGAAGUUUCUUGGUAUCUGACUUGGAGAAAACCAUAUAGCUUUGAGGAUAGAUGGCCAAUGUGAAAACAAAGGAGUAAAUUAAAACUUUACAAACUGAGUACCCCAAAUACAUUCUCAAUCCAAAACCAAGAAGAGAGUAUUAGAGUCUCCACAGGAAAAAUUACUAUUUUUUUUCUUUUUCUUUCUUUCUUUUUUUUUUUUUUUUUGGCUGCACCCACAGCAUAAGGAAGUUCCAGGGAUCAAACCCAAGCCCCAGAUGCAACCUAUAUGUGACAGCUGUGGCAAGUCUGGAUCCUUAACCUAUUGCACUGGGCCAGGGAUAGAACCUGAGUUGCUGCUGAGAUAAAGCAGGAUCCUUAAUCCACUGUGCCACAGUGGAAACUCCACUGUAGGAAGAAUUUUUGCUUAAGAUUUUGACCAAUUGUUGCCCAGGGCAAAAAAGGAGUCAACUGACCAGGAUGUCUAAUAUCUGAAUAAUGAAAGAUCCAGUAAAUCAAAAUGAAGAAAGUGCAUAGGAAUAGAACAUUUAAGAAAAAUGAGUAAAUACAAUAUCCUAGAAGAACAUGAGUUUUUAUUUUGGAAGUGGUCACUGAAUGGUCAACUCAAAGUUUGAAACUCUUCAUUAACAAAUACUGUAUGUUUAAAUAAUUUAAAAAUAUUUUGUGAAUAUACUAAGUUCAACCCUUCCGAGGCAUUGAAAUUUUUUACUUUUUAAUUUAGUUUUUGGUUUAGUUAGUUUUUAAAUUUUUUAGUUUAUAAACUAAGGACAUAAUUUUGAAUUGACUACUGCUUGGUGUUUGGACAUGUGCAUAAUAGUUUCACAUAUUCUGAGUGAGGAGAGUCAAUAACUACACUUUUAUUCCCAUUAAAUUUUGAUGAGCAUAUAUAAGAAUGACACUUUCCCUUAGGGAAAGAUAGAAUAGAUUGCAGUUGUGAUCAACUAUAUCAAUUUUUAUUCUCUUAUGCUAAGAUCAAUUACCUUUUUUUUUUAUUCAAAUGAGCAUUGUCAUAAAUUGUCUUAUUAUCACAGAGGAAAAAAGGGCAACUCAGUAUCAUAUCCUCCAGCAUUUCUUAUAUAAUGCCUCCUUGAAUAUCAUUUACAUGCUUUAUGAAUAUAUUUAUUGUUCUGAAAGCCAAUUACCUAAUGUUUUCUAAGUUGUUCAAAGCACUAAGCCAGGAUUUUUCUAACUUAUAAGCAUAUUGAUUUUGAUGGUUAAGAGAAUUUGAGAUUUCUGUAUUAAUUACUCUGUUUACAUAAAAAUGAACUUUAUGUCAUUUGUGCUUUCUUAUGCACAUUUUCAAAAUUAUGGGACAAUUACAUGAAUUGCUAAAACAGUAAGAGAUGCCUGAUUUAAUUUAACAGAUGAAACUAUAUCAUUAUUCAUGUAUUAUGAAAUAGAUAUAUCAGACUUAGAAAAUAUAAUAAACUUUUAGGAAUGUAUGCAAUUCUUAAUAUGUAUGCCUACCUGAAAAUGAUUAAUUAAAAUGUGAAAUAUAUAGUGAUUUAUAUUUUACUGUACUCAUAUGACAUUAUUAAUUUAAAUAACAAGUACAAAAUACUGUGACAAAGUUGAAAACUAUUAGAUAAAACUGUGUUGCUAGAGUUCCUGUCAUGGCUCAGUGGUAAAGAACCCAAGUAGUGUCUAUGAGGACGUGGGUUUGAUCCCUGGCCUCGUUCAUCAGGUUAAGGAUCCAGCUUUGCCGUGAGCUGUGGUGUAGGUCACAGAUGUGGCUUGGAUCCCACGUUGUUGUAGUGGUGGCCGUGUCUGGCAGCUGCAUCUUAUUCAACCCUUAGCCUGGGAACCUCCAUAUGCUGCGGGUGUGGCCCUAAAAGAGACAUUAAAAAAAAAAAAACAAAAAAAAAA
rnacentral:lncRNA from 1 species